CAGUAGCCACGGUAAUACGAAGGGGGCUAGCGUUGCUCGGAAUUACUGGGCGUAAAGGGAGCGUAGGCGGACAUUUAAGUCAGGGGUGAAAUCCCAGAGCUCAACUCUGGAACUGCCCUUGAUACUGGGUGUCUUGAGUGUGAUAGAGGUAUGUGGAACUCCGAGUGUAGAGGUGAAAUUCGUAGAUAUUCGGAAGAACACCAGUGGCGAAGGCGACAUACUGGAUCAUUACUGACGCUGAGGCUCGAAAGCGUGGGGAGCAAACAGGAUUAGACCCCAGUAGUCCCUGUCUCUUAUACAC
rnacentral:rRNA from 1 species